rnacentral:rRNA from 1 species
UACGAAGGGGGCUAGCGUUGCUCGGAAUCACUGGGCGUAAAGCGUGCGUAGUCGGUUAUUUAAGUCGGGCGUGAAAGCCCCGGGCUCAACCUGGGAAUUGCGUUCGAUACUGGAUAGCUAGAGUUCGGCAGAGGGAAGCGGAAUUUCGGGUGUAGCGGUGAAAUGCGUAGAUAUCCGAAGGAACAUCAGUGGCGAAAGCGGCUUCCUGGACCAGAACUGACGAUCAGGCACGAAAGCGUGGGGGAGCCAAACAGGG